rnacentral:rRNA from 1 species
GAUAAACGAGUGGGAUAGCAUGCCAGUCGACGACCCGGACUAUGGCGGGGAGUGGCAGACUGCUCAGUAACACGUAGCUAACCUACCCUCGGGACGGGGAUAACCCCGGGAAACUGGGGCUAAUACCCGAUAGGUGUGGAUUCCUGGAAUGGUGCCAUGCCUAAACGUAAGCACAUCCAUGUUUGUGUGCACGCCCGAGGAUGGGGCUGCGGCCGAUCAGGCAGUUGGUGAGGUAACGGCUCACCAAACCUUUGACCGGUACGGGCCAUGAGAGUGGUAGCCCGGAGAUGGGCACUGAGACAAGGGCCCAGGCCCUACGGGGCGCAGCAGGCGCGAAACCUCCACAAUUCACGCAAGUGAGAUGGGGUUACCUCGAGUGCCGCCUGAAGAAGGCGGCUUUUCCAUGGUGUAAUGAGCCGUGGGAAUAAAGGGGGGGCAAGACUGGUGUCAGCCGCCGCGGUAAUACCAGCCCCCUGAGUGAUAGGGACGAUUAUUUAGCCUAAAGCGUCCGUAGCCGGCUUAAAAAGUCUCUCGUUAAAUCCGGCGACUCAAUCGUCCGGACCGCGGGAGAUACUUUUAGGCUAGAGGGCGGGAGAGGUUGACGGUAGUCCCGGAGUAGGGGUGAAAUCCUGUAAUCCCGGGAGGACCACCAGUGGCGAAGGCGGUCAACUAGAACGCGCCUAACGGUGAUGGACGAAAGCUGGGGGAGCGAACCGGAUUAGACACCCGGGUAGUCCCAGCCGUAAACGAUGCGGGCUAGGUGUUGGCGCAGCUACGAGCUGCUCCAGUGCCGCAGAGAAGUCGUUAAGCCCGCCGCUUGGGAAGUACGGCCGCAAGGCUGAAACUUAAAGGAAUUGGCGGGGGAGCACCACAUGGGUGAAGCCUGCGCUCAAUUGGAGUCAACGCCGGG